GCGGUCAUCCUUCUUCCUGCCAGGCCUGUGGCGCAUUUAUGACGAGGUCGACAAGGGGGACCCACGGGAUCAUUACCCUGAUCACUCGGUCCGCGCCCGAGGAGGAUAUCCGUCCUGGGGGCCCCAGUGAGUCCGACCCCCGUGCCCAGGGUCGGGCGAGGCGGAACCUUGUGGCGAGGGGUCGGGCACCCCCGACCCCGGGGUCGUGGUCGGACGAGGCGGAGCCUCGCGGCAGGAGGUCAGACGCUCCCGACCCCGGGACCGUGGUCGGGCGAGGCGGAGUCCCACUCAUGUUGGGCUUGAUGGCGAUUUCGU
rnacentral:lncRNA from 1 species